rnacentral:sRNA from 1 species
CUCGUGAGCGACGGAGUGAUAGCGGCUAAAGGCUCGUGCUAAUCCUUUUUUAUAACGGCUUUAUCCUUACAUAAGGAUUUGCGCAAAUAAUCACAUAAAGCAAAAGGCAAAACAAAGUGCAUUCACAACAAUAGCA